CAUUUCUACUACGAUUGUUCAACCAUACAAACACUUUAGUGUUCUCCACUGCUGGAAAAAUGAAAAACCCAAUCUUGGUUCCUUUGAUCCUUCUGCUGGGGAUCCCGCUAACAGAGAGUAUUGAUGAAACUGCUGUAUUUCCAAUUUGGAGACAUCAUUGCAUUUGAGAGAAUGUGUGUUA